UACGUAGGGUCCGAGCGUUUAAUCGGAAUUACUGGGCGUAAAGCGUGCGCAGGCGGUUUUGUAAGCCAGAUGUGAAAUCCCCGGGCUUAACCUGGGAACUGCAUUUGGGACUGCAAGGCUCGAGUACGGCAGAGGGAGGUGGAAUUCCACGUGUAGCAGUGAAAUGCGUAGAGAUGUGGAGGAACACCGAUGGCGAAGGCAGCCUCCUGGGCCAGUACUGACGCUCAUGCACGAAAGCGUGGGGAGCAAACAGG
rnacentral:rRNA from 1 species